UGCAAGUCGAACGCGAAAGUCCCGAAAGGGAUUAGUAGAGUGGCAAACGGGUGAGUAACACGUGGGUGACCUGCCUUCGAGUGGGGGAUAACGUCCCGAAAGGGACGCUAAUACCGCAUGACAUCCUGCCUUUGAAGAGGUGGAGAUCAAAGCUGGGGAUCGCAAGACCUAGCGCUCAAAGAGGGGCCCGCGCCUGAUUAGCUAGUUGGUGGGGUAACGGCUCACCAAGGCAACGAUCAGUAUCCGGCCUGAGAGGGCGGACGGACACACUGGGACUGAGACACGGCCCAGACUCCUACGGGAGGCAGCAGUGGGGAAUUGUUCGCAAUGGGCGCAAGCCUGACGACGCAACGCCGCGUGGAGGAUGAAGACCUUCGGGUCGUAAACUCCUUUCGAUCGAGACGAACGGCUUCCGGGUGAACAAUCCGGAAGAGUGACGGUACCGAGAGAAGAAGCCCCGGCUAACUCCGUGCCAGCAGCCGCGGUAAUACGGGGGGGGCAAGCGUUGUUCGGAAUUACUGGGCGUAAAGGGCUCGUAGGCGGCCAACUAAGUCAGACGUGAAAUCCCCAGGCUUAACCUGGGAACUGCGUCUGAUACUGGAUGGCUUGAGAUUGGGAGAGGGAUGCGGAAUUCCAGGUGUAGCGGUGAAAUGCGUAGAUAUCUGGAGGAACACCGGUGGCGAAGGCGACAUCCUGGACCAACACUGACGCUGAGGAGCGAAAGCCAGGGGAGCAAACGGGAUUAGAUACCCCGGUAGUCCUGGCCCUAAACGAUGAAUGCUUGGUGUGGCGGGUAUCGAUCCCUGCCGUGCCGAAGCUAACGCAUUAAGCAUUCCGCCUGGGGAGUACGGUCGCAAGGCUG
rnacentral:rRNA from 1 species